UACAGAGGGUUCGAGCGUUAAUCGGAAUUACUGGGCGUAAAGCGUGCGUAGACGGUUCUUUAAGUCGGGUGUGAAAGCCCCGGGCUCAACCUGGGAAUUGCAUUCGAGACUGAAUAGCUAGGGUACGGUAGAGGGAAGCGGAAUUUCCGGUGUAGCGGUGAAAUGCGUAGAUAUCGGAAGGAACAUCAGUGGCGAAAGCGGCUUCCUGGACCAGUACCGACGUUCAGGCACGAAAGCGUGGGGAGCAAACAGG
rnacentral:rRNA from 1 species